rnacentral:misc_RNA from 1 species
GGAAGCCGUGCAUCUGAUGCAGCUCAUGUUUACGCUAGCUCAAUGGAUUUAUACGAUACUGUUAAUGGGGUUUGGUUAAAAUCCCGAUCUGUUCCCGGCGGCGGCUGUGUUGUGGCAGCAUGUGCGACAGCCGGAGAAAUCUAUGUACUUUCCAGUCACGCAGUGGAGUUAUCGUUCUGGAAGUUUAAUGGGUCACGAAAAAGCACCGGAUUCGGCGAUUGGUGCAGGAUAAAAUCCCCGCCGUUGCCGGCGCAAGUGAGAUUAGACAGUACGGUGAGAUUCAGCUGCGUGGGGAUCGGAGAGAAGGUGGUGUUAGUUCAAG